GGAUUUGCAUCCCUGCCCGGCCAUGCCUAUAUUCAGCCUGCCGGCAACGGCUAUGGCGAUAAAUUGCCAUCGUAAUAAACCCAUUGGACCCGGGGGCAGUACCCGGCGCCUCCACCAUCUCCUCCCCGCCGCGAGGGGAGCCAGUGGGGGCGAAACAGGAUCGACAAGGGCGUAAAGGGUGUGUUUUCGCUCGGCAUGGUUCCGCCGUCAUCGGGCCAUCUCAAUAGUUGCCAACGACAACUAUGCUAAGGUUGCUCUCGCCGCGUAAUGCGGUGCUAGCACCUGAAUCAAAGCCCUCCAGGCUUUAGCGGUUUGGAGGCGGGGUUCGCAGGCACCUGGCAACAGAAGCCUGCACU
rnacentral:tmRNA from 2 species